GGAAAAACUAUUGCCUGAUACCUCCUGGGUUGUCCACGUGCAUGAAGAGCAUGUCCUCAUCUCCGUCCAAGAUCGAGUAAAACUGCAAACGGGCACAGAGAGAGAGAGAGAGAGGAAAAAAAACAGUAAAUACUGGAUGAUUUGUACAAAUACUCACUCCAGUAUCAUCGCCCACCCAGAUCCAGAACCACGUGCUCAGCUGGAGUGAGGGGGAGACGACAGGAGGUGAAGGGAGGACCGUGAUAGGGGCUCGAACGGCUGGCUUCCCUCCUGGGACGCACGCGUGCACGCCCGCGAGCUUCAUCCCGGUGGA